rnacentral:rRNA from 1 species
CGCUCUUUGUACUUCCAUAAAUAAAGAGUCGUGCCUGCCCAGUGAUUUAAAAUUAAACGGCCGCAGUACCCUGACUGUGCUAAGGUAGCAUAAUCACUUGCUUUUUAAUUGAAAGCUAGAAUGAAUGGCUUGACGUAAGCUAAGCUGUCUCUUUUAUACUAACUAAAAAUUGAUUUUUAGGUGAAGAAGCCUAAAUAAACUCAAAAGACGAAAAGACCCUGUCGAGCUUGAAAAAAAAAUUAAAUUAAAAUUUUAGAAAAAACUAAAUUAAAUCUAUUUUUUGUUGGGGCGACAAAAGAACAAACAAAGCUUCUUUUAUUUUAAAAAAUUUAUAAAUUUCAAUGAGCCAAGAUUUUUGACCAAAAGAAAAGUUACCGCAGGGAUAACAGCGUAAUUUCUUUGGAGAGUUCUAAUUGAAGAAGAAGUUUGCGACCUCGAUGUUGGAUUAGAAAAUCUCUUUGGUGCAGCCGCUAAAAUAGAGGGUCUGUUCGACCUUUAAAUUUCU